rnacentral:rRNA from 1 species
GAUGAACGCUGGCGGCGUGCCUAAUACAUGCAAGUCGAGCGAAUGGAUUAAGAGCUUGCUCUUAUGAAGUUAGCGGCGGACGGGUGAGUAACACGUGGGUAACCUGCCCAUAAGACUGGGAUAACUCCGGGAAACCGGGGCUAAUACCGGAUAACAUUUUGAACCGCAUGGUUCGAAAUUGAAAGGCGGCUUCGGCUGUCACUUAUGGAUGGACCCGCGUCGCAUUAGCUAGUUGGUGAGGUAACGGCUCACCAAGGCAACGAUGCGUAGCCGACCUGAGAGGGUGAUCGGCCACACUGGGACUGAGACACGGCCCAGACUCCUACGGGAGGCAGCAGUAGGGAAUCUUCCGCAAUGGACGAAAGUCUGACGGAGCAACGCCGCGUGAGUGAUGAAGGCUUUCGGGUCGUAAAACUCUGUUGUUAGGGAAGAACAAGUGCUAGUUGAAUAAGCUGGCACCUUGACGGUACCUAACCA